GGACCCGUAGCUCAGUUGGUUAGAGCGCCGCGCUCAUAACGCGGUGGUCAUCGGUUCAAAUCCGGUCGGGUCCACCA
rnacentral:tRNA from 3 species